GCAUCGGUGGUUUAGUGGUAAAAUUAGCCGUUGCCAUCCAUCUGUUCCUCACAGUCCAGAUUGGACAACGUCGGCUAGCCCCGGGUUCGAUUCCCGGCCGAUGCA
rfam:Cochliobolus sativus ND90Pr unplaced genomic scaffold COCSAscaffold_3, whole genome shotgun sequence.